AUGUCUGUGGACUCUGAAAACUCAUGUGUUCUGCUGUCAUCACGUGACUCCAGGACUUCCUGCAUCUUUCAGACAGCAGACGAGAAGGAAGAGCUCCCAGGAGUGGGAGAGGAGAGCGUUCUGGAGAUGCUGAGUUACUCCAAGUUCUCAGACCUGGAGACAUGGCUGUGCAUGCCGUCCUCUCUGCUUCUGUCCAGACCGCUGGACUCCAUCCUCAUGUGCUCAUCUUCCUCCACCCUGUCCUCUUCACUUGCAUCCAACCUCUCCUCUACCUCGCUUCCCAUGUCCUCCUCUUCCUCUCCGACCCUCGACUCCCGCUUCUCCACCUGCAGCGAACCGGGAGAGCUCGGCACACUCCUCAGGUCAUCAGAGCAAGAGUCCACCUGCCUCACACCCGCUUUAGGAAAGGAGGUGACCUUUCUGUCCACACCGCUGCUGCCCGUUCUCUCCUCCACACCUGCUGCUGCUUCAGAGCCAAGCUCACAGCCGCCAACAGGAGACUCCGCCUCCCACAGUGGCGUCAGCAUCAGGAAACGACGGCGGCUUGCUGCCAGCCCUGGAGGACUCCACUGGAACUCUACAGGUUCAGUGCUGCGGGACUUCUGGUCACCUGAUCUGCCUCCAGGGAUGGCAGCCGGAGGUGGAGCCAGAGAACCAGGUGGAGGGGGAAGGAGCCUCCCUCUGAGCGAGAUGGGCAGAGGAACACCUGUGUGGGCAACAGGUGAACGGGUGGCUCUGAGGAAGACUGUGUCUGCUGACGAUGAGCUGCUGCGGCUGGCUGGUGGAGGUCCAAGACUGCUGAACCGAGCCGAGCAGAACCGAAAGAAGCUGCGCGGCAUCCAUAGCCUGGGAACAACAGGAAGAUACGACAGCAGAAAAAAGUGAGUCAUCCUGUUUUCAUCACCUCUCAACGCUGAAACGAUCUUGUGCGUUUCGCUACUCGGUUUCAUUUUGAAAACGUCCUGGAGCUCAUGAGUAAUAAGAUAUGAUUUAAUAAAACAGGAAGCAGAACCUCUGCAGGACUUUCUGAGGGAAUGAUUCGCUAACUAGAUUAUGUCACCACUCUUAUUGCGUUCCAAAUUAAAUGACGGAUACUUUUAGCUGAAGAAGUGAAACUUCACAGAUUGCAGAGAUGAGGUUUCUCCCUCCAUGGGAGCAAUUACUGAUAAUUUAUUUUACAAUCCCAGAUUAGGAUUAUAAUCUAGCGUUCCACGGUGAUGUUCAGAAAAGAAGAAAUCUGAGAAGCAUUAGGUUUGUCUUUCAAAGAUAAGAAUGUUUUUUCAACCCUCCUCAGCUACAGAAGAAGUUAUUAAACUAGAAUUCACAGAAGGUUUUAAAUCCAAUCUGCUGUUAGAUGUUCAGAUUCUGGUUUUCGGUGUUUUUUGGGCUCAGGUUUGUUGCUUGGGCUUAUGUCCACUAGUUUGGGUCCUGUUUAAUCCAGCUUUUUUCUUUCUCCUCACUCAAAUGAACACAUAAUCCCACAUUUUUGUUCCGUCUGCAGUCCUCAACCUCCUCCUGCUCUGAGCUCAUGUCGGUGCAUGUUUUUUCAUCCUUUUUUUAAAAUCAUUUGUGUGGUUUAUACACCUGCCUCUGGUGAAAAUGAUAUUAACCACUGAAUCGUGUUGCUCACAGAACCAGGUCCACUCUCUGCUUUGGUUCUGUCCGUAUCGGGUUAAUUUUUCUGAAACGUUGGGUCUACUGGCACCAGGACUCACAGGUGCAGAAUUCCAGAACCUUUGGAGACGCUGAUUCCACUCAGAAAUUUCAUAAACGUUGUUUUCCUGCUCUUCGCAGCAGCUCCAUCUUCAGCUCGUGGGGUUUGUGAGAGCACCGCAUUCAGCACUCACUCAGACAUUUAGGGGCCCAAGGUAGCUAUUAAGAAUAAUGGCCUCUGGCUACCUGUUACCAUGGUGACAGAGGAAAAGGAAAAGAGGCAGAUAUCCAGGAGCUGAUGAAGUGAGGAGAACGUGCUCAUCUGUCUCCUCCGAGAACAAAAGAAGCUCUCAGUUAACGUGUGAUUAUCUGCUGAAUAUGGAUUAUAAGGGUUUAGAUUACAGCCUGAGCUGAGAUUAAUCAGGUGAAAGAAAUUUGUUGUUCAGGGUUAGCCUAACACUACUGGGUUUGUUCACGGCUUUGAUAUGCAAACCCAAAGUGUUUACAAUUAGAAACACUUUAGUUUUACACUUGGUACACACAUAGUAAAGGUGCUGAGUCAGGCUUUCUAUGAUUUAUUGAAUGUUUCAACAUGGAAAUCUUCAACCAAAAGCAAUGGUGGUUUCUUUUUGUGCCAGGUUUAGAAAAUGUUGUUGUUGUUUGUUAGACCUUGCAGAGUCAUGAACUUGUUUUCAUAAAAGUGUACCAGAGCACGGAGAAGUCACCGGUUUUCAUUUUCUGUUCUACCUCUCUGGUGGUCUGCAUCGUCUCCUCUCUCUAAUUUACCAAUUUAUUCUGUAAAAUCAGUGGAACCAAAAUGAUCAAAAAAGUCAGAAAGCUUAAGCUUCAGCAAACGGAAAGUUUCCUUGAUAUGACUAAACAUCAGUCAUCAGUCUGUCAGAAUCUUACAUCUAAUAAACUAGAUGUCUGAUUCUACUUAAGUGGUUACAAACUCCUGAAAGAAACGAGGCGUUAAAAUAGGUAAACCUUAAUCUACAGGUUAGGAAAUAACUCGACACAAUGAAACGAUCUCUGACUUAGCUGACCCGAAUACCUUCCUCCAUUAGCUUGUUUGUGUGGAGAUCAUUUUUUAAAUGCUUCUACCAGGAAGAGCUUCAAUGAUUCAGACGUUGCAACUAUUUCAUCAUGUGACCCAUCAGCUGUUUCUGCAGGCUUUCGUCUGAACCACGACUCUAUACAUUACAGCCAGCAGUGUUGUCUGAUUUGUUUGUUCAGAAAGUGCCCCUGAACCAGAACAUCAGCUGCACAUUUACCUUCAGUUUCCAUCCGAGUUUGAAACGUUCAUCAGAAAAGAAAUGUGUGGUGAAAGUUUUCUGUUCAACGGUUUCUCUGGGUUUAUGAGUGCCGUGCUUCUAUUUAGAUUCUGGAGAAUUAGACAUUUUGUUCUCAGCCAAUUUCAAAUUGGGUCUUUAAAUAAACCAAACCUGACUUGGUAGACCUGGUUGAACCCUUUUUCUGUGAUUUUUGCGUGUCAUCCUUGCUUUUGUUGCUGAAUCUGUUUGUGCAGGAUAGAAGGUGAGAGAGGACUUUCAUUAAGGACCUGUUUGAACUUCACACACUAACACACAGGCUGAAACAAUGAGUGGCUUCAGUCGUGACUGGAAGUUUUGAGUCAGAGGCUCAUUAAAGCAGAUUUCUGUAGAACUCCCACUCUCUCUGCAGCUUUCAACUCUUCUUUCAUCCCUCCAUCGCUCUCCCCUCCUCAGACUGCUGCAGCUCUAAUCCAAGGCUGCGGUUGUCAUCCUGUAAUUCAUCUUUUUUCACUCUCUCUCAAAGACAAUCAUUAAAGUGGUCAUUGUAUUUCUAAUGGGCCAUUGAGAGGCUCUUUUUAGUUUCAAAACCUCACAGAAACAGGAGUUUGCUGACGUCACAAAGCAGCCUGAUAAAGCUGUUUUGUUGUUAUAGUGAUUACUUGGAUAAAGUGAUGCAAUCAUUCUCAUCUUUCAUGAACUCCAUCUUAUCUGCCGCAGAAACACCAGCGCUGGUUUGGAUCAGCAGGUUCUAGAGCAAAACACUUUGGCUGAAUCAAGAUUUAAGUGGUAAAUAACUGGUCGUUUUCUUUCUCAUCACAGCUGGAAAACAGAAAACAUAACCAGUGAUUGUCUUUCUUUACACCUGAGUGGUGUUUCUAAUAGUUACACUACUCGCAAGUCCAGCGUUGCAGAAAUAUUGCCACCAAGCUUGGCGGCAUGAAAGCCGUAUAAUUCCUGCAUCACUAUGUAUUACUCUGGUUUGCUGACAGUGUUUCUUAUGAAAGUGGCUUUAGAUGCAGAUCAAUGGGGAUGAUUUCAAUUAAGUUGAUUUAUAAAGUACCAGGUGAUGACAGAAGUCAUACCAAAGCGGUACACAGUAUUCAAGUCAUUUCAGGUCCAGGUUCAGGCUAUUUGACUGCAAUAAAUGUAAUGGAAUUUUAACAAAACUAGAUUAAUUUAAAAUGCCAAUGAGUCAAAAUUCCCCUAGACAAAUUAACUAGGAGAUUGGAUCUAACCAUCACUUUAACAGAAUUGAUAUGGUCCCCCAUUCUGACCAGCACAGUACGAAGGGCGACAGUGGAAAACUCCCUUUUCCAAAAAAGUUCAAAUGAAUCCAACUGGACUUCUUUGGUUUCUCGAAGAUGUUUUGCUUCUCAUACGAGGAGCAUUGUCAGUUCUGACUGGAAUAUGAAAGUGUCAGGCUUAUAAUAUUUAGCUGAUUAUUGUUGCUUACUGAGCAGAAACUACCUAUGAAUGCCCCUCCUCCCUAGCCCCUGAUGAAACCUACAUUAAAUAGAAGAGGAGGACUCAAGUUUCACCUUUGCAUCACCUUUGACCUUUCGCCUUCAGAACUGCCUAAAUUUACGUGGCAUUGAUUCAACAAGGUGCUGAAUGCAUUCUUUAGAAAUGUUGGCCCAUGUUGAUAGGAUGGCAUCUUGCAGUUGAUGAAGAUUUGUGGGAUGAACAUCCAAGGCACGCAGCUCCCGUUCCACCACAUCCCAAAGAGGCUCUAUCGGGUUGAGAUCUGGUGACUGUGGUACAGUCACCGUUGUAGUGCAGUGAACUCACUGUCAUGUUCAAGAAACCAGUUUGAAAUGAUUGGAGCUUUAUGCAUGGUGCAUUAUAACAAUAACCCAAAUAAUAAUCAAAUCUACUGAGUCAACAGAAAUUACCUAAAAAAAUUCUUGGAAUUUAAAUUGAUGAGAGGGUAAGUUGGAAAAUACAUGUCGACUAUAUAAGUAAUAAGAUCUAUAAGUCCAUCGGCAUAAUAAGGAAGUUUAGCCAUAUUGUUUCUACAAAGUGUCUUCCCACGUUGUAGCCUUGUGUAUCUGCAUCUCUCUUAUUGCAAUAUGAUUUGGGGUAGUUCUUUUCCACUGCUCUCAACUAGGGCUGCCACAAAUGACUAUUUUAGUAGUCGACUAAUCGCCAGUUUUGUUGACGAUUAGUCGCCUUCUCAUGUCAUUUAUAAAAGUUUAGCUUAUUGCACCAGGAUGCUCUAAUAUACCCAUCAUUAGCUUCUAGUUUGGCUAUGUGCCUUCUAAUAAUGAAGACAAGAUGAUAGCUUAUCAAACAACUUUUAAUUAACUUUGUAACCUGUUAAUACAAGUGCCACAGUCAAAUGAAGGUAAGCACCUAAAACCAAAAAUAAAUUGUGCACAAAAAUUACUUGUGUUCGCGAGAGGCAUGGUGGCAAGGUUGAAGCGCCUCAUCUUCCAAUCUUAACUCAGGGAAAGGCAGAACAUACUGAGGUUACGCCUCUGUAGCACGGCUGGUCCACACAUCAGCAUAAAUGUUAAUUCCUUGAUUGCUCAGUCAGCAACCUUUUUAUUUUAGCAAAAAAGGCAUUAUAUUCUAAUAUUUACUUUAUUUGUGUCCAGAGAGAAACAGAAUCAGAUGCAUCGCUCACAUGCGCACACACACAAUUUUAAGGUUAUUUCAUUUUUCUUUUCCAUCAUGGUAGUGAAAUGAGAUUGGCCUUGUGGGUAGUUGUCGCGGUAUCCUGGGUUGAGCUGCUUGAUCAUCUCUCAAUCAAUCAAUCAAUCAAAUUUUAUUUCUAAAGUGCUUUUCAAACAAAGUGUUAUUCAAAGUGCUUUACAAAAUGACCCCAGAUUCCCAUAACAGGUUAAAAACAUUAACAAACAUAUGCAAUCACACGCACACACACACAGACUCACACACACACAC
ensembl:lncRNA